ACUCAAAUGAAUUGACGGGGACUUGCACAAGCGGUGGAUCAGGUGGCUUAAUUCGACGACAAACGAAGAACCUCACCAGGGUUUGAAACUCAACUGAAAGGUCUAGGAAACUAGAUCCCUCUCACAAGGACAGUUGGGCAGGUGAUGCAUGGCCGUCGUCAGUUCGUGGCUUGAGUUGUUCCCUUCAGUGGGGAAACGAACGCAACCCUCGUCGUGUGUUAUACGUGUCACACGAGACUGCCCCCGCCAGAGUUCAUAACAUCAGUGUUGUGGAUUGUGGCGGGGGAGGAAGGCGAGGAUGACGCCAGGUCAGCAUGUCCCUCUGAUAUCCUGGGCUGCACACUUGAUACAAUGGCCGUUACAACGCGUAGCGACGGGGCAACCCUGAGCUAAUCGUUUAAAGACGGCCCCAGUUCGGAUUGCGGUCUGCAACUCGACCGCAUGAAGCCGGAAUCGCUAGUAAUCGCGGGUCAGCUAUACCGCGGUGAAUACGUUCUCAAGUCUUGUACACACCGCCCGU
rnacentral:rRNA from 1 species